rnacentral:rRNA from 1 species
UCGGGAAUUUUGGGCAAUGGGCGAAAGCCUGACCCAGCAACGCCGCGUGAGGGAUGAAGUAUUUCGGUAUGUAAACCUCGAAAGAAUGGGAAGAAUAAAUGACGGUACCAUUCAUAAGCUCCGGCUAACUACGUGCCAGCAGCCGCGGUACUACGUAGGGAGCAAGCGUUGUUCGGAUUUACUGGGCGUACAGGGCGCGUAGGCGGCGCGGUAAGUCACUUGUGAAAUCUCUGAGCUUAACUCAGAACGGCCAAGUGAUACUGCUGUGCUAGAGUGCGGAGGAGGCAACCGGAAUUCUUGGUGUAGCGGUGAAAUGCGUAGAUAUCAAGAGGAACACCUGAGGCGAAGGCGGGUUGCUGGGCCGACACUGACGCUGAUGCGCGAAAGCCAGGGG